GGCGACAGGAGUGUGCCUGGGGAGGUCACCGGGGCAAAUUCCUGGCAGCUGGCGGGUGGGGCUGGGUGCCAGCGGUGCCGCGGGCCUGGGGGUUCCCUGCAGACCCUGGGAGGUUCCUGGGGGCCGUCUUCCAGGGACUCCGUGUGAUUCCCCACCCAGCCACCCCCUGUUCUGUUUCCUCAUCUGCCCGGAGUUUGGACCUGAAGUUGAUUUAACGGCCAGGAAUUUCCCGUGUACACUGUCUGGUUUAAUCCGCUCCGCAGCAGGAGCGGUAAUCCCCGUGGACCGGUUACCUGGUGAACCUUGUACGGUGACAACAGUCGCCAGAGACUGGAGCCUCCUCUGAAACCCAGGCACUUCCUAGACACAGCCUUGAGCAAAACAAAUGAGCCGCACGACAAUGGAUUGUGCUGAGCCUGUCUUUCUCCGUUCUCUCUUCCUCUUUCUUUUCUCCCUUUUUCCCUCCCUCCCCCCUCUCUCUUUCUCUCUCCAAUCUCUCUUUUGGUGGUACCGGGUACUGAACCCUGCUCCUUCCCACUGAUCCACAUCCCCAGUGCCCCACUAUUUUUUUUUUUGGAGACAGGGUCUCACUAAAUUGCCCGGGCUGGGCCAAAUUUGUGACCCUCCUGCCUCAGCCUCCCAGAGUGCUGGGAUGACAGGUGUGCACCACUUGCUCAGCUGAGUGUGUGUUUUAUUCUGAACAGGUUAGGGAGGCCCUUGGGGACCACCAGAGGUGCACAGCUGAGCUCAGGGCAGAACCUCUCAGGCCUUCUCUGCCACCUCCCCACACCACACACCACCUCCUGCUCUUCCAGGAAAGACCUGUCCCAGGGGUCUGCAGAUUCAUCCCUGGCACCAAUGCCCAGAGCCUUCGAUGGGCCCCGCUAACAGCAGUGCUUGUCAACUUUAUGUUCUGCCACCAGACUCAGGUUCUUGUUAAACCACAAAGUUGCUCAGAUGGGGCUCGGAAUUGUGAUUCUCCUGCCUCAGCCUCCUGGAAUGCUGGGAUGACAGGGUUUCCUGCCUUCACCCCACAUGCUGACAGUGUAGUAAUGGACGUGAAGCAGGGAGAGAUCCUCCUGUCUCAGCCUUCUGAGUGGUGGAUUACAGGCAGGCGUGCACCACCAUGCCGCACUCUACUGCUUCUUGAUAACACCGAACACUAG
rnacentral:lncRNA from 1 species